UACGGGGGGAGCAAGCGUUGUUCGGAUUUACUGGGCGUAAAGGGCGCGUAGGCGGCCACAACAAGUCAGUUGUGAAAUCUCUGGGCUUAACUCAGAACGGUCAACUGAUACUGUCGGGCUAGAGUGCAGAAGGGGCAACUGGAAUUCUCGGUGUAGCGGUGAAAUGCGUAGAUAUCGAGAGGAACACCUGCGGCGAAGGCGGGUUGCUGGGCUGACACUGACGCUGAGGCGCGAAAGCUAGGGGAGCGAACGGG
rnacentral:rRNA from 1 species